rnacentral:tRNA from 1 species
UCCCUGGUGGCUCAGAUGGUAUAGCGUCUGCCUACAAUGCAGGCGACCCGGGUUCAAUCCCUGGGUGGGGAA